rnacentral:pre_miRNA from 1 species
GAUUUCAACUGAAAAAGUUAACAACAAUAAAGUUGUAUAACUCAUCAAGAUCUAUAACUUUUAUUUUGAUCAUUUCUUCAUCCGAUGAAGUGAUAGUAACAUUGUUCAUAAAAUUUAUAUUUCUUUCAUAUGGUUUUAUAAACUAUAAGAGAUAUAUACAAAUUUUGUGAACAAUUUUACUAUAACUUUGUCGGAUGAAGAAAUGAUCAAAAUAAAAGUUGUAUGUCUUGAUGUGUUGUACAACUUUUAUGUUCAUGACUUUUUCAGCUGAAAUU